AGCUUACCCUGACUCAUGACAUCCGGGCGGCGAGAAUGCUGGGCUGUGAUUGGCUGGCAGGAAUCCCUCCUCGCCUCUGAUUGGCCAAGAGGAAGACUAGGUAUUCAAAACGAGUCUUCCAUUGGUCCCAUCCUUUCCAGUCCCCGCCAAAACUCUCUCAGCUACCAGACGCCGGACGGGAGAGACGUGCUGCCCGACGCUCCCGUAUUUCACGCCCACACCGCCCAUACGCCCGUAAAAAUGGCUGACCAGGAGAUGGAGGGGCAGGACUUCACUGAGGAUUGCUCCGGAGGGGAUUUUCAAGGGAAUGGCAUGGAGAACGGCGAGGGAAUGGCGGUGACGGAGGCCGGGAAGAAGGACAGUGGAGCUGCUGACGCGCCGGGGAGAGAUGACGAUAGGAAGCUGUUUGUGGGCGGCCUCAGCUGGGAGACACAAGAAAAGGAGCUCCGGGAACACUUCAGCAAAUUUGGAGAGAUUGAGAGCAUAAACGUGAAGACAGACCCCAACACUGGCCGGUCCCGCGGGUUUGCCUUCAUUGUCUUCAGCAACAUUGAGGCCAUUGAUAAGGUAAUCAACGAAGCGAACCACGUCAUUAACGGCAAGAAAGUCGACCCCAAGAAGGCGAAGGCACGACAUGGCAAGAUUUUCGUCGGGGGGUUGAAACCGGACCUCUCAGACGACGACAUUAAGAACUAUUUUGGCAAGUUUGGCAGCAUCGUCGAGGUGGAAUUGCCAUUUGAUAAGCAGAAGAACCAACGUAAAGGCUUCUGCUUCAUCACAUUUGAGCAGGAAGCCGUCGUCACUGAGCUUUUAAAGACCCCAAAACAGAAAAUUAACGGCCAUGAGGUUGAUGUGAAGAAAGCCACUCCGAAGCCAGACGCCAUGGGAAUGAUGCGAGGUGGUAUGCGCGGGGCCAUCCGGGGCACUCGCGGGGCAGCAGUGCGUGGCCGGGGUAGAGGGUGGAGCGGAGCGUGGAACCAGGGCGGAUAUGGUGGUUAUGGACAAGGAGGAUAUGGUGAGUGUGGUUAUGACUAUGGGUACAAUGGCUAUGGUGGGUAUGGCGGCUACGGAGGCUAUGGCAACGACUACUAUGGUUAUGGCAGUAGCUAUAGUGGAUAUGAGGCUGGGUGGUGAGCAUAAGGGUGAGAGAAAACAGGCGCGAUGAUGACCGGCAACACUGGAGGCCAAUGAGUUAUGAGAGAAGUGAAGGCCCUUACCAGGUGGCGGGCAAGGUUACGAUGGGAAGAGCCAGCGCGGGAGGCAGCAGACGCGGCACCAACCCUACUGACGGGGGACAUGGGCGCCGUGACCACCACCACAACCACCACAACCAGCACCACCACCAACAACACCACUAUAACCAGCAGCAACAUCAUCAGCAUCA
rnacentral:misc_RNA from 1 species